rnacentral:rRNA from 1 species
AUUGAACGCUGGCGGCAGGCCUAACACAUGCAAGUCGAGCGGAUGAAGGGAGCUUGCUCCUGGAUUCAGCGGCGGACGGGUGAGUAAUGCCUAGGAAUCUGCCUGGUAGUGGGGGAUAACGUCCGGAAACGGGCGCUAAUACCGCAUACGUCCUGAGGGAGAAAGUGGGGGAUCUUCGGACCUCACGCUAUCUGAUGAGCCUAGGUCGGAUUAGCUAGUUGGUGGGGUAAAGGCCUACCAAGGCGACGAUCCGUAACUGGUCUGAGAGGAUGAUCAGUCACACUGGAACUGAGACACGGUCCAGACUCCUACGGGAGGCAGCAGUGGGGAAUAUUGGACAAAGGGCGAAAGCCUGAUCCAGCCAUGCCGCGUGUGUGAAGAAGGUCUUCGGAUUGUAAAGCACUUUAAGUUGGGAGGAAGGGCAGUAAGUUAAUACCUUGCUGUUUUGACGGUACCAACAGAAUAAGCACCGGCUAACUUCGUG